UGGGGGGGUCUUUCCAGUCGCUCAGGCACGUCUCGACGUUUCUCCACAGGAUCGUUUCAAGUCCGUCUUCCGCAAUGCUUCUAAACUUUUUUGAAUUCAUUUACCCUAACAAAUUUGAAAUUCUUCAUUUCAUACAUUCCUUGAGAUGUCAUCAAGAUAAAAUAGUCUUAUUAAGACUUAAUUUUUAGUUUAUCUAACUUUCCUCAAGUUACAAAACUUAUUUUAAAAGUGGAAAUUAUCCUUUGAUUCACCACAAAUAUCAUUUACACUUUUUUUUUCUACCCUGCCUAUGUUGUACCGGUAGACACUCUUCCUUGGAAGAUGCCUUUGAGAAGUUCAUGGAACACCAUGCAGAUCCUAACCUAGGAUUUCUGCUUCCUGGCUGAAGGAAAGUAAGGGGCAAUGUAGACAUGAUGGUAAUAAUAAUCGCAAAAAUGCUACCACUACAUUUUUAAUUAAUGUCGGCAUCAAGGAUAGCACUCUCCUUUAUAUAAAGAAAUGUCAAAGUCCUGUGGUUAAUUAUUUAUUGUCAUUAAGUUCGACUAUGCAGUUACCUAUAAGACAUGGAAAGAUCUUUAUAACUGAAGAACACCUCAAAUAAUUUUGUGUUUUCUGAGUUAUCCUCUUCCAUGGAGCAGGAGACGCAUGCGUCUAACUGAAGGGAACGACGUAGAUGAGUGACUUGAGCCGUUAAAGAGUAUUCUCGGUUGGAACACCCCCUACUUUACAGGUCCAGGAAGCAUGAGGGAACACGCUUUAUGGAGAGGUUUUCUGAGCUUCUGCUGUUUGGAGGGGAAUCACUAGACUGGAAAAAAAGUCCCGAGAAAGUACGUGGUGCCUGCUUCUCUCGACACACAGAAGGGGGCGGGGGCUGGUGAGGUAGCAGGACUUGCUCAGGGCCGUGUCUGAUUCGCAAGGCUGCUGAAGAGCUGGGCUGGAGCUGGUGCCUCCUGACUCCCAGCGCGAGCAGCGCCCUUGGCCCAGCGUCCUGCACCCUUCUUCCACUCUCCAGUAUCCGAGAAACCUACCCAGAUGCAAGACGCAAAUACCCUCCUGCAUGGUUUCAAUACAAAAUACACUGGUUUUGCCCUUUUUCGGGGUGGAGAUUUAUUGACUUCAGAAAAUUGGGAUGGUCAAAUCUUCAAAUUGAAAGCCAUAGCGCAAACAAACAGACAGAUUGCUUUAGGAAACUUUCUCUACGCAAGUGCAGCAGAAGCGUAAGUCUCCCGUCUUCCGGGAGAGCAGGUUGGGGCUGCUCCAACAGGACGCACUCAGUGCUUUCCUUUCCCAGAGCAGGCAGAUUGGCAUUGCUCCGCAGCAGUGUCACAGAGCCACAGUCAUUGAAUGCCUCUUCUUGUGAGGCCGGGAUUCCACGCCCAAGUGCAUUUAGUAGGAUUGUCACUGGUCCAGCAUGA
rnacentral:lncRNA from 1 species